CCUACGGGAGGCAGCAGUAGGGAAUCUUCCACAAUGGGCGAAAGCCUGAUGGAGCAACGCCGCGUGGGUGAAGAAGGUCUUCGGAUCGUAAAACCCUGUUGUUAGAGAAGAAAGUGCGUGAGAGUAACUGUUCACGUUUCGACGGUAUCUAACCAGAACGCCACGGCUAACUACGUGCCAGCAGCCGCGGUAAUACGUAGGUGGCAAGCGUUAUCCGGAUUUAUUGGGCGUAAAGGGAACGCAGGCGGUCUUUUAAGUCUGAUGUGAAAGCCUUCGGCUUAACCGGAGUAGUGCAUUGGAAACUGGGAGACUGGAGUGCAGAAGAGGAGAGUGGAACUCCAUGUGUAGCGGUGAAAUGCGUAGAUAUAUGGAAGAACACCAGUGGCGAAAGCGGCUCUCUGGUCUGUAACUGACGCUGAGGUUCGAAAGCGUGGGUAGCAAACAGGAUUAGAUACCCCAGUAGUC
rnacentral:rRNA from 1 species